GAUGAACGCUGGCGGCGUGCCUAAUACAUGCAAGUCGAGCGAACAGACGAGGAGCUUGCUCCUCUGACGUUAGCGGCGGACGGGUGAGUAACACGUGGAUAACCUACCUAUAAGACUGGGAUAACUUCGGGAAACCGGAGCUAAUACCGGAUAAUAUAUUGAACCGCAUGGUUCAAUAGUGAAAGACGGUUUUGCUGUCACUUAUAGAUGGAUCCGCGCCGCAUUAGCUAGUUGGUAAGGUAACGGCUUACCAAGGCAACGAUGCGUAGCCGACCUGAGAGGGUGAUCGGCCACACUGGAACUGAGACACGGUCCAGACUCCUACGGGAGGCAGCAGUAGGGAAUCUUGCACAAUGGGCGAAAGCCUGACGGAGCAACGCCGCGUGAGUGAUGAAGGUCUUCGGAUCGUAAAACUCUGUUAUUAGGGAAGAACAAAUGUGUAAGUAACUAGGCACGUCUUGACGGUACCUAAUCAGAAAGCAACGGCUAACUACGUG
rnacentral:rRNA from 1 species